GGCCGUGGCCGCAGGCUACACAUGCAAGUCGAGCGGCAGCGGGGAGUAGCUUGCUACUUUGCCGGCGAGCGGCGGACGGGUGAGUAAUGCUUGGGAACUUGCCUUUAGGAGGGGGAUAACCACGGGAAACUGUGGCUAAUACCGCAUAAUGUCUACGGACCAAAGCAGGGGAUCUUCGGACCUUGCACCUAGAGAUAGGCCCAAGUGAGAUUAGCUAGUUGGUGGGGUAAAGGCCCACCAAGGCGACGAUCUCUAGCUGUUCUGAGAGGAUGAUCAGCCACACUGGGACUGAGACACGGCCCAGACUCCUACGGGAGGCAGCAGUGGGGAAUAUUGCACAAUGGGGGAAACCCUGAUGCAGCCAUGCCGCGUGUGUGAAGAAGGCCUUCGGGUUGUAAAGCACUUUCAGUGGUGAGGAAGGAUGUAAGAUUAAUACUCUUGCAUAUUGACGUUAGCCACAGAAGAAGCACCGGCUAACUCCGUGCCAGCAGCCGCGGUAAU
rnacentral:rRNA from 1 species